rnacentral:rRNA from 1 species
CACGUAGGGUGCAAGCGUUGUCCGGAAUUAUUGGGCGUAAAGAGCUCGUAGGCGGUUUGUUGCGUCGGCUGUGAAAUCCCGAGGCUCAACCUCGGGUCUGCAGUCGAUACGAGCAAACUAGAGUGUUGCAGGGGAGACUGGAAUUCCUGGUGUAGCGGUGAAAUGCGCAGAUAUCAGGAGGAACACCGGUGGCGAAGGCGGGUCUCUGGGCAUUACCUGACGCUGAGGAGCGAAAGUGUGGGGAGCGAACAGG